GAGACACGUCCUCACACACCCUAAACGUACACAAGGAACUCUGAGCCAGAAUGCAAGCUUUGCUCAGAGCCAGGAGGGAGAUGCUGGCAGCUGGAGUGGAGACCACAGCUAAGAAUCCCGCUUCCUGCGCCUGUCAGCACAGUGUGCAGCAGCGGGAAGGAGUGAGGAAGCCCGGCGUCCAUACCUUCAUGUGAAAACAGAAUCGCAGGUCUAACUGUGAGCACACACAAAGCAGCAGAAGAAUCUAUAACCAGCAUGAGCACGCUCCAUCUAUCAGCUGUUACUGAAGUAAUGACUUAUUGUAUUAUGGAUCUGCGGGCCAGAGAGGCAGGUGUGAAAGGGUCAUUGGCAUCUGGUCUUAACAGGCGUCCUGAAUUUUCCCCAUGAUCAUACGGAAAGCUUUUUCCUGUAUCUCAGAUGCCACAUGUUAGCUGUCUGCAUAGGAUUUCAUGGAAGAUGUCCGCAGAAAAUCCCUAAAGCUUAAAGUUUGUACCCCCCUUGGCAAGUGGAUCGAGGUAUGCAGAAAAGUGUGCAUUGUUAUAAAAGGUGUAUAUGAUCUAGAGAUAAACCCUGUUCAUGCUGUUUGGUUUUAAAUACGCUAUACUGUAUAAUCCAAGGCACUUUGCAUGUAACCAUGUUUCUUUGAAUGUUCAAUGUAAUUAGAUGUGUGUGCAGACAACUGUAAUUAACCCUGUAACCCCCUUUUUGGUGACAACCGUAAAUAAGUGUGUUGUAUGUCAUUUACAGUUUUCACGGUGCUAUGGUACUAUGGUGCUUACGAUAUUCAUGUUUACGGUGCUCAAGGAAAUAAAGAAAAUAAUAUUCAACCCUGCUGCGCACCUUUGUUCCGAAAGAAUAAAACUACUGCACCCGUCAGAAUCUCUCCUCUUGUUAUUUAU